UCUAUGUCUACUCUUUUAGGUGCCAUUUGUGGCGGCCACUGCUGUACGAAUGCAACCGAAUUGGAGCUGAGAAAGAAGUCCACCGGCGAAUUCGAACGUCUGUUGCAUCAUCAUACCAAUAGUCUUCGCGGCAUACUCGAAUCUACGGCGAAUCUAUUUCAAAAACAUUUCCUAGUCUUAGCGGAAUAACCAGAAAAUAUUACCAUAGCGGUCUAUUCACAAGGUACCGACGCAUGGUACCAUAAUUGAGCGAAUGGAUUCGCAGAAUAUGAACCUAACAGCGGUAGCACCAACUAUCUGAGCAAUCCGGAAGCUGCCAAAUAGAAUUUCUUUGUGAAUCUCUUUGCGGUCUGGUCACUUGAUCAAGGAAAGGUCGGUGCACUUGCGCAAAGAAAAUUCAACGAUCUACAGCGUUAGCCAGCAUACCGAAGGAAAUCAAAUCUUCAUAAAUUCAUUGCAAUAGCGAAUAGGUGCUCAGCAAACUGAUCAAUUACACGUUGCAGAGAAGGUUAAAAUAGAGAAGGUUCAUUUAGGACCAGGUGAGAAUCGUUAAAGCUAAAAAAUUGCGAUGAGUGGUUUCAUCACAGAAUCGAGUGAUAAUAAUGAAUAGAAUUAAGUCAGAAACUAUUUGAUAUUACAGACGCGAUAUAACCUUUUCAUUAUAUCAUUUUGCGAAAUUUUAUGAAUGCAAGUUAGCUUUCGGUGUUUAAAGGUUUUUUAUAAAGAAUUGAUAAGGAGACGAUUUAAUUGUAGUGAGUUACUAAACUGAGGGUAGGUCAGCUCAGUUUAGGUCAGUAUAUAAAAAUUAAUGCAAGAAACACCUCCAAAGCUUCAAAAUGUGUUUUUAUUGCAUACAGCACUGCAGGUGUGUAAUAUUCUUUUACAUAUCAAGUAUAUUUCUGGUUAUUUACCUCAAUUAAAUACUUUUGUUAUUAAAAUAGAAAAUCGUUGACAGUUUAUUUACUAUAUCUUGCUUAAAAUGAUUCAAAGACUUUUUUGUUUCGUGAAUAUUUAGUCGCUACUAUUUGUAUAAUGUUGGGUUUGCAUUAGUGAAUCCCUACAGUCACUUGACAUACCUGAAAAAGUUAAAUACUUUUUUUAUACGUGUCUUUAUAAUGCGCCUGGAACUAGACUUAUUGGCGAAAGCUCCUCAAUAAAAGCUCUCGAUAUUACCAUUUUUACAAUAUAAUAUUUCCAGGCCUUUCAGUAUCAUCCCUAUGAAUUCCUUUUUAAUCACAGAUUUGUUUUGGUAAUUAAUGGUGCUGUCUUGUAAGUUUAACGCUACUCUUGCUUGUUGUAACAAGUCUAAUCCCAUAAUGGCGUCAAAUGAACUUGAAUAUGUCAUUGUCACUGCCUUUCCAUAUUCUGACUCUUGUGAAUCAGGGGCGCAUUGAACAACGUCAGUUUCUGACGCCUGGGCCCUGUUAUUCUAUUGGAUAUGUUUGGUCUGUUUCGGCCUUAUUUUUGAGUUAGUGAAACUAACGCGCUGCCUAAACCUAGGACAGGAGUCAACUUCCAUUGGCUCCGAUGUUUGUCCCUGGUGUUCUCUUUUGUUUUUUAUUGGUUUGUAUUAAAUUGUUGUUUUUUGACGAAAUGCGGCUUUCUUUCCUUACCGCGCCUCCUAUACUCUUCUUUCUGCAAUGGCUUUGGUAUAUGAGUUCGGAAAUAUACUGCGUUCUAUGUUAGCUUCUGUCUCUCUCUCCAAUGCCAAAGCAGAUGGUAGGUUCUUUGGUUGUUUUGGAAAGACAAUAGAUCUAAGCGGCUUCUUUAGACCAGAAGUGAAGACAUGAAGUGCAUCGGCUCUGACCUCCUUAUUAAGCCUGCUCCGCUUUAUGAGUCAUCACAAUUUUGUUGUUAACUAAUGUUAAUUUUUUUCAACCUCUUCGUAUUACUCCAUUAGACUUAGCUCAUCCCGUCUAACCAUUUCAAGUCCUUGCCUCAAAAGCCGUAGUGAGGUUUUAGCUGACAGCACUCUGCCCUAACUCUUGCACUUGAUUUGCAUUCAUUUCAAAGUGAACUUCGUUUGGUACUUGGCUUUCGCUAACUUCUGUGUCCCACUCAAUUUCACUUUGCACUCAACUUUCAUAUUUUUAAGUGUGUCAACCCAACUCAUAUUCGUAUGUGCUAUUACCUCGCACUGGAAUUUGGUUUUAUAAUGGAAUGUAUUUAAUUUCGAUCAAACCGCAUAAAGAUUUGACGUAUAACAUUUAACGCAAAAAUCCUUAUUAUAAAUGUAUUAUUAAUUAAAUUCUUUUAAUGUGGUAACUUGAUAUAUUCACAAUACACUUGCCGCUGACAGCGGUUUUUAGUUUUUUUUUGUGAUGCACGAUUUGAAAUAAUUUUGAAUAAACUUACAUAUGUUAAUAUGGGCCAUAAUAUAUUUCUAAUUCUAUCUUAAUGGUGUAGAUCCUUGUUGGUUGGACGCCAAUUAAGCUUAUCACACAAGUAGAUUCCUAUGAUAGAGAUGAUAGAGCUGGUGCCGGAGCAAGUACCUUUAUUGUUAUACUUUUAACUUCCAAAUACCAACUGAAACUUAGGAUACUAAUUGACUGCAAGCCGACUCAGCAUAAGCGAUAACGUAGACAUUUGCAGCUACCGUCAAAAGGUUUGAAUUACUCGUAUUCUUCUGACCAGCCAUUAAAUUCUGUGACUGAUUUUAUUAUGUCCGGAGGAAUAUUGCAAUUGAUCUGUGGGUCCACAGAAAUUCUUUUAUAGGGCUAAACUUGUGGUACUUUGAUACUCAAGUUAUUUACCCGCUCAUUCAUAGCGUUGAGCUAUGUUUGAAAUCUUUGUUCUUGCUGCGCUAAUGCUUCGCUAACAGCGGUGACUAUUAAUGCUUGCAUUUGGCUAGCGUUGUUUUCUAUGUCCCACUCAAUAUCACUGUCGCACUCGGUUUUUAUAUUGCGUAACGCGUUUAACCAACUCAUGUGCUCAUGUGUAUAAAACAAAUUUUUAGCAGCGGCUUGAAUUUAUUUAGAAAGAUUUGUUUUUUAUAGAAUAAUUAUUUUAGCCGACACAAAGUAUAUAUAUAUAUUUUUUUUUUUAAAUAACUCGAUAUUUCACAAUCACAUCUGUUACUGUUAGUAGUUUAUAACUAAUUUGGUGCAAGUAAUUUGGAGAAAAUCUUAAACGAACUUACAUGGUGUGGAAGGUAGAGUAACUCUAACUCUAACUAGGGUGUGAAUCCUUGUAUGUAGGGCGCCAGUUAUCGGGUUGCGGUCCCGCGUUGUUGAAGGAAGCCUAACAACGCGUGCUAGCUUAGAUGUGUGCAGUCAAUGCACGAGAUGAUUAUAGUUAACUUCUUUGGUCUAUUACGUUGGGAGCUUUACUUCGCUCUCUUAUAGCUGGCCGUGUGGCUCAGUGGUCACAUGCUAUGUGACAUCUAUGUGAUUGGGAAGUUGGUACUUAUCAAAAGUAAGGAUACAGACUCCGGUAUGUUUUGGUUUUCAAUCUAUGUUUUUGCAAAAUUUGUACACUUAAACAACACCUUGGUCAGAUAAGUUUUUAAUGAUUUCCUCUUCACUUAGGUCGAUUGGGUAUAGGGCAUAUAUUGUGCCUUUAAUAUAAUUGAGUUUUUCAUGGUAUUUUGUAUUCACUUCACAGACACCGUGUAAAAAUUUAGUACGAAUGAACUUUUCGGCGGUUGAUUUGGCUUUUAGUAAUAGGUAAAGACUUCCGUCGCGUAGUUCUGUGAUUUUCAUGACUUCUUUGCAUACUAAUUUUAAUGCGGAAUGAAUUGCAAAGCAUUUAUUUAAUGGUUAAUUUAUAUCAACGAACGAUAUUACAACGUAUUUAUGAUUUUUCACUUCUAUUUCUUGAAAAUUAGGAAAAGGCUCAAAUUGUUUUUUUAUUUUUUUUCGUUUUGGUUGGAGGUCAGACGCCAGCAAGGCAAGUCUGUUAUCCCCAAGAUUGGGAAGCCCGGGGGCCAUUGUUUCUUAUGUCCCAAAUUAUAAAUUUGUAAUUACUAUACACUUCUUUUUGUACUAAAAAGUUCUGAACGGCUUAGUUCAAAGAGCAAACACAAUGUGAGGACAACGAAAAGGAAUAAAACUCAUCUGCUCGGCACGAGGCAUUGUCGGUGAAUGACGGGUUGUGAUUUAUAAAAUAAUAAGUUUUUUGUAGCGAACCAUGAAAGUCGCCUAGUAAUAAUAAUUUUUUCGAAGGUUUUACUUAAGCAGGAUAGCAAGGAAAUGCAUCUAUAAGAACUAGUCAGACUCAUUGGUUUAUUUGGUUUAAUAACUGGGACAAUGGUAGCUAUUCGCCAGUUAUGUGGGCAUGCAUAGUCUUUUUUGGCUGCUGUAGAUGGGUUCGCAAGCAUCGGGUAGGAUAUCUUACCGAAGCCUGGUGUUUUGACUUUUGCAUGUUGUACAGCGGACUCUAAUUCGCAGAAAAUAAUUUCGCACUCUAAACUUUUUGGUGAUGAAAACAGAUUCGUUGCUGUAUAGAUGGCAGAUAACCAAUGUUGUUUCUCUGCGAUGCAUUCUGCAGUGAAACUACUAUCUUGCGAAUAUGUUGACCAAAGAUUAGCGAAAGUUACUGCGAUGUCUGCAGAGUUGGUCAGAAGACUUUGGUUUGUUUCAAUAAUUUUAAUAGGGCUGUGAGGGAUUACAGUCAAAAGUUUAAUGUCUGACCAUAUAUUUUUGGUAGUCGAAGCAGGGGAAAUUUUUGAAGUGAAUACCUCAAAACUUUUCCUUUUAGCAAUCUUUGCAGCUCUUUUAAAAAGGGCGUGUUAAUUUUUUUUUAUCACGCAUGUAUUAAAUAUCCUUGUUCCACCAGACAGGAAAGUCUUUUGAAAACGUGCGUUUGGUUCGAGGAAUCGGCUUAUUUGCAGCAAAGCGAACCAGUUUUGUGAACGCAGAUGUGGCUUGGUUAAUGUUGUCAAUUGGAGUGAUGGGUAAGCCUUUUAGGAUUUCACUUUGAAAUACGUUCCAGUUUGGGCGUGAAAUUAUAAAUUUUGGGAGAUGUUUAUAUUUGUCAAAGUGGAAGUUUGUUUGAAGGGAGAUUGAUAUAAUAUAUUUACAGUGGUGUGAGAGUCAACGUCUGGAUUUGUUCUUUCUAUAUUUUCGCUGGAACUAAUAAUGCAUGAAUUGGAUGCUUUUGAAGCAUAUGAGUUACUGGAUGAAACAGCUGGUGUUGUUUGUUGCUUAUAAAUUUUUAUUAUUUCGCGCAUUGAAGAUUUCUUUAUUGUUUUAACUUUUAUAAUUUAUUUCGCUUGCGAAAAUUUUGUACAGUAUUUAGAUUAUGAUGCAUGUUGUUGGCAACAGUUGAUGCAAAAAAUGCGUUCGCAAUCGGCUGGGGUAUGAGGAGGAAGGAAACAAUUUACACAAAGAGGGAACGAUCACAACGCUUUGCCGUGUGACCAAGAAGUUGGCAUUUUUGCAACGCAUUGGCGAAGGAACAUAUUGACGUACCAAAAGUUUACACCAAGCAACGUCGAUUUUAUUCGCUAACUUGUAAAGGUUAAAAAUUAGUAACAAAAAUCCAGAGAGGUGCGGUUUACCUUCAAUAAACUUAUUAAAUUUAAACACUAACACAACACUUUGAGAGCUGAGCUCAUUUACUUUUUCCUCCUCUGGUACGUUGUGUAGAAAUGGAGCAAAUAUCGUGCCCUUUACGUGGUUGAGAGUUUCGUGUAGGGUGGCUGAUAUGGAACAUAUGUUCAACAGUUCUUUUACUUUGAUGCAUUUUUUCCCAACUUCGUUAUUCUUAACAAGCACAAGCAAUUUUCCAUCUCGUAUGAUAGAUAUGGAGUGGAUGUCACUGCUAAUUUGCUUAAUAGCACGAUAAAUGGCAAAGCAAGAAUAGGAAGAAAGGGGUUUGGCCGUGUCAGUAGCUUCAAUCACUACGAAUUUUGGGUCGUCAACUUUUAACUCAGGAACUCUUUAAAAUCCAUAGUCGAGACACUUAUACCAGUUUUCCAUUUUUUUUUUUUACCAGGUCCCGUAUCGAGUAUGGCGAAACGAUUCGCCUCGAUAUUUUAAGGCCCCGCGGCCAUUUUGAACGUGGAAACUGACUCAAAAAGUUUCCGCUAGUGAACAGUAGAAAAGAAAAAGUAAAAAAGAAGAAAAGUCCGAAAAAGAGGGAAAAAUUAACCGAAUAACUAAAUGUAAGUAAACUCGAAUAAUUUUUUCCUUUGUUGAUUCGCUGGUAUUGUUCACUUCCUCUUUCCCUGGAAGUGACAAUACUUGUCCCACGGUGGUUUAUUUUAUUUCCUUUUUUUUCUUGGCACUUUAUAUUUUUUUAAAAGUUACUUAUUAUUUACGUGGCACUUUUUUUGUGGCACUUUAUUAUUAUUUAUUUCACACGCGGACCGCUUUUCUUCAUUGGAAUUACCGAAGUUAACUGCUCGGGCGCCAGUUAGGUUUUCUUCUACUAAAACCCGUAAAAAAAUAUAAAGAUAUAUAUUU